UACGUAGGGUGCAAGCGUUGUCCGGAAUUAUUGGGCGUAAAGAGCUCGUAGGCGGUUUGUCGCGUCUGCUGUGAAAACCCGAGGCUCAACCUCGGGCCUGCAGUGGGUACGGGCAGACUAGAGUGCGGUAGGGGAGAUUGGAAUUCCUGGUGUAGCGGUGGAAUGCGCAGAUAUCAGGAGGAACACCAAUGGCGAAGGCAGGUCUCUGGGCCACUACUGACGCUGAGAAGCGAAAGCAUGGGGAGCGAACAGG
rnacentral:rRNA from 1 species